GUGCCAGCAGCCGCGGUAAUACGUAGGGCGCAAGCGUUGUCCGGAAUUAUUGGGCGUAAAGAGCUCGUAGGCGGUCUGUUGCGUCGGAAGUGAAAUCCCGGGGCUUAACCCCGGGCUUGCUUUCGAUACGGGCAGACUAGAGUGUGGUAGGGGAGACUGGAAUUCCUGGUGUAGCGGUGAAAUGCGCAGAUAUCAGGAGGAACACCGGUGGCGAAGGCGGGUCUCUGGGCCACUACUGACGCUGAGGAGCGAAAGCGUGGGGAGCAAACAGGAUUAGAAACCCCCGUAGUCC
rnacentral:rRNA from 1 species